rfam:Methanofollis liminatans DSM 4140 chromosome, whole genome shotgun sequence.
AUGGGGACUAGCCCGGGUGGUUCGGCGUCACCUGUAACCCGAAAUCGCCGGUAUGCGGAGGGCGAAGUCUGAGGAAGGCUCUGGCGAUCUGCAGGCGUCUUGUGCGUCCUGACUGAGAAGCCUUGUCCCAUGAGGUCGACGUACAGGGAUCGAUGCCUCGUAGGGGGCGGAGACCUGGCACCGCGGAAACCGGUUCAGGCCCGGAAGGGAGCAGACUUACCGUGGACGUUUGGCGCCCAUGGGGGUGCGGGGUGGAGAAGGGAUGUCCUGGCAAAUGCAGGCACGUGCUGUCGACCGAAGACCCGUCCCCAA